rnacentral:lncRNA from 1 species
UAUUGUUGUUUGAUGGAAGUAUGUUUUUUUUAGGGUAACUUGCUAAGUGGUAACUAAUAACUACCACAAGUUUUUACAGCCAGUGGAAAGGCUUGAGGUUUCUUCUAAGACAAUGAAAGAACUUGGUAUGACAGAUUAAUAAAGGCAGCAUGUGGUCUAUUAUAUGAACAGUAGACUUUAAGGAGACAGGGAGGGUGGAGAGGGACCAAGUAAAACAUUUCUACAAUGGCUCAAGUCAAAGUUGAUUAUGACAUAGACAAAGACAAGAAAUAAAUAGAAGUUAUCAAAAAGGCUUGGUUUGGAAGAUCUCUUAGAGAUAGGAAUGAAAAGAGGGGGGUGGUGGGAGAAAGAACUACAGAAAUGUUCCAGAUUUACUACUCGAUAUAUAUUUUUAAAAAAAUUCUCCAAAGCUCAGAAUAGAGAAUUUGCCAAAAAGCCCAUCACUCAUGAUUCAUUUGUCAUAAGCCUCUACUCAUUACCAUGAAAUUAUUCAGUCAUAAUUGCUGUCUUACUGAAGCAUACAGUUGACACAGUGAAGUCUCUGCUUUCACAGAACUUUAUACUUCUGAGUAAUGACUUUGUCUAUGCCAUGGGAUGGACGUCCUAUUCAUAUUGUGUCAAUAAACCUCAAUUAACAAUGUAAAAUUAAUGAAAAUAAUGUGAGUUAUUUAUAUUAGUUUAUGUGGUAGAAGAGUACUUAAUGACAACAAACUUGGUGUAUGUGAAUAUUAAAUUAUUGUAAAUUAUUUAAAAACAAUAAGAACUAGCCUUACAUUUCACCCCCCUGGACACUGUUUUCAAGAGAAGGAAGGAAACAUUCAAGAAAAAAUAAGAUAUAACUUAGCAUAAAUAAACAGAAAGAAUAUAAAUCUCUUUCACUUUUCUUUUUUUUAAUUUGGCAAUAGAACUGUUGAUAUUACCACACUAUCUGGCUCUCUCUUUUUCCUUUAUCAGUAAACUACCCACAUUUUAACUGGGCACAUUCCUGUCAAUCUGAUGAGAAUCUAUUUCAUACCCUGCUUUAGCUGGUAGUCUGUCAAGGAAAUGAGCUGAACAUGUCUGUGUACAGCUUUUGUGCCAUCCCUGGAUGAGCGAGCUGUCUGCCUCUAUGUUCUCCACAAAAUGGAAUAUAGCUGUACACCCAAGCCAAGUUAUGGAGGCUGGGAAGACCUAGAAUGUGGCAUCACUAUUUGCUGAAAUUUUUAAUAUAAUGCCUCUUAGCCUGGUUUGGAGAAAACGUCACAGAGAGGCACCAUUUGUUGUGGUUUUACAUGAAAAUUUUCUGACCCUGAACCUGGUUUGAUGGAAAUCAUUUGCUGAGGUUAUUUAGAAAAUUGUUACCUCAAAAAUGACCUAGGGGUCCUUAGAAUAAUAACACACAGAAGAAUAGCCUCAUUUUUCUGUUGGGCCCAGGAAACCAUGCCGAUUACCGACCGAGCUCUCAAUGGAAAAAUGCAGUCGGCGUGAACCACGCACGAACACAGCAGAGAAAGAAGAAAACACACACCACGAGGAACCCUAAUAGGACAAUACAUUAUAAGUCACAGUGCUACGGAGAAACCCAGUAGCCACAUGGAAGCAGAGACCAUGCAUAUGCAUCUACUCCGCAGCUCUGUGAAUGUCAGCAGCUCCCACGGACUGGAGAUCCCGUGAGAUCCCGUGAGAUCUCACCCAUAGCCUCAUGGUACAUCCACUUGGUGUGCUGGGAGAGUCAGGAUGAGGACCUGAGAAGAACAGCAGCUUGAACCUGACUUCAUUUAACAGCCCACUGCCCUCUUGCCAAGAACCCAUCACAGACCUUCCCAGAAGAGAGGGAUGAGCCUCACCUAUGAAUAAGUCCUCAGAAACUCAAAUUUGAUUCUAAUGGAUUGUUUUCUCAGAAAGACUGAGCAUGUCCCCCCACAUCUCUGUCAUUUCCCACAGUAGUAACCUCUGCAGAUGCCACAUAGAAAACAAAACAAAACAAAAAAACAUGAGGUUGGUGGGCAGAUAGGCAGGGUAUAAACAAACAGCCUUGUAACCCAGAAGCUGUGUGAUAUACAGUAAACUUCACAACACUGAAAAGAUGUCCUAUCUGUUAAAAUGGGGUAAUAACAACUACCCGAAUGUUUAGGAAUAGAACUUCAAUAAAUGAUACAUUUUAUAGUACAGCAGACCAUCCUGUAAAGGUUUCAUCCUUCACUGUGGUGAUAAAUAUCCCAAACCACAUUGAAAAGCAUUGCAUCUACAUUUAUCUACACUGUAACUGUACUGUAAAUCAUGGGGGAGGGGAGAAUCAUAAAAACACCACCUGUCACCGUGUCAUUAAAGCAAGUUGGAAGUGAUACUUACAGAAACACAGCAAGAGCACCCCCAGUCACACAGUUCAAUCUCUUAGCAAGCGUUUUCUUUCUAGCCCAGUGGUUCUCAGUUUGGAAUUUUUGGCACUGCCUAGAGAUAGUUUUGUUGUUAAAACUGAGAAAAGAGCCGGGCGUGGUGGCACACGCCUUUAAUCCCAGCACUCAGGAGGCAGAGGCAGG